rnacentral:misc_RNA from 1 species
GAUGAAGAACGUAGCGAAAUGCGAUAAGUAAUGCGAAUUGCAGAAUUCAGUGAAUCAUCGAAUCUUUGAACGCACAUUGCGCCCGCUAGUAUUCUGGCGGGCAUGCCUGUCUGAGCGUCAUUUCAACCCUCGCCCCCGGCUUUUGCUGGGAGCGGUGUUGGGGAUCGGCCGCCCGUCACUGGGAGGCCGGCCCCGAAAUAGAGUGGCGACCACGUCGUGUGCUCCUCUGCGUAGUAGUAAAUCACCUCGCAGGCGGACAGCGGUGCGGCCUGCCGUAAAACCCCCAACUCUUUCUGGUUGACCUCAGAUCAGGUAGGAAUACCCGCUGAACUUAAGCAUAUCAAUAAGCGGAGGA